rnacentral:rRNA from 1 species
UACGUAGGGACCGAGCGUUGUCCGGAAUCAUUGGGCGUAAAGAGCGUGUAGGCGGCCCGAUAAGUCCGCUGUGAAAGUCCAGGGCUCAACCCUGGAAUGCCGGUGGAUACUGUCGGGCUCGAAUCCGGAAGAGGUGAGUGGAAUUCCUGGUGUAGCGGUGAAAUGCGCAGAUAUCAGGAGGAACACCAAUGGCGAAGGCAGCUCACUGGGACGGUAUUGACGCUGAGACGCGAAAGCGUGGGGAGCAAACAGG